rnacentral:rRNA from 1 species
AAUCAACGCUGGCGGCGUGCCUAACACAUGCAAGUCGAACGCGAGAGGGGCUUCGGCCCCGAUUGAGUGGCGAACGGGUGAGUAACGCGUGGGUGACCUACCUUCGAGUGGGGGAUAACGUCCCGAAAGGGACGCUAAUACCGCAUAACAUCCUGCUUUUGAAUGGGUGGAGAUCAAAGCCGGGGAUCGCAAGACCUGGCGCUUGAUGAGGGGCCCGCGUCUGAUUAGCUAGNGGUGAGGUAACGGCCCACCAAGGCAACGAUCAGUAUCCGGCCUGAGAGGGCGGACGGACACACUGGGACUGAGACACGGCCCAGACUCCUACGGGAGGCAGCAGUGGGGAAUUGUUCGCAAUGGGCGCAAGCCUGACGACGCAACGCCGCGUGGAGGAUGAAGGUCUUCGGAUUGUAAACUCCUGUUGCCCGGGACGAAUGGCUCCGACCUACACGUCGGAGUGUGACGGU